rnacentral:rRNA from 1 species
CACGGUAGGGCGCAAGCGUUGUCCGGAAUUAUUGGGCGUAAAGAGCUCGUAGGCGGUCUGUUGCGUCCGCUGUGAAAACUCGGGGCUUAACCCCGAGCCUGCAGUGGAUACGGGCAGACUAGAGGUAGGUAGGGGAGAAUGGAAUUCCCGGUGUAGCGGUGAAAUGCGCAGAUAUCGGGAGGAACACCGGUGGCGAAGGCGGUUCUCUGGGCCUUACCUGACGCUGAGGAGCGAAAGCGUGGGGAGC